CACUAGAUGACUGAAAGCAAGUACUGGCCUCUUAAGCCAUAUUAUAGUAAAUUAGCAUUUACUUCUAGUGA
rnacentral:tRNA from 1 species